UACGAAGGGGGCUAGCGUUGUUCGGAUUUACUGGGCGUAAAGCGCACGUAGGCGGAUCGUUAAGUCGGGGGUGAAAUCCUGGAGCUCAACUCCAGAACUGCCUUCGAUACUGGCGAUCUUGAGUCCGGAAGAGGUGAGUGGAACUCCUAGUGUAGAGGUGGAAUUCGUAGAUAUUAGGAAGAACACCAGUGGCGAAGGCGGCUCACUGGUCCGGUACUGACGCUGAGGUGCGAAAGCCAGGGGAGCGAACGGG
rnacentral:rRNA from 1 species